rnacentral:rRNA from 1 species
GAGUUUGAUCCUGGCUCAGGACGAACGCUGGCGGCGUGCUUAACACAUGCAAGUCGAACGAAGAGCGAUGGAAGCUUGCUUCUAUCAAUCUUAGUGGCGAACGGGUGAGUAACGCGUAAUCAACCUGCCCUUCAGAGGGGGACAACAGUUGGAAACGACUGCUAAUACCGCAUACGAUCUGACCUCGGCAUCGAGGAUGGAUGAAAGGUGGCCUCUAUUUAUAAGCUAUCACUGAAGGAGGGGAUUGCGUCUGAUUAGCUAGUUGGAGGGGUAACGGCCCACCAAGGCGAUGAUCAGUAGCCGGUCUGAGAGGAUGAACGGCCACAUUGGGACUGAGACACGGCCCAGACUCCUACGGGAGGCAGCAGUGGGGAAUCUUCCGCAAUGGACGAAAGUCUGACGGAGCAACGCCGCGUGAGUGAUGACGGCCUUCGGGUUGUAAAGCUCUGUUAAUCGGGACGAUUUGGCCUUCUUGCGAAUUGACGG